rnacentral:rRNA from 1 species
GACGAACGCUGGCGGCACGCUUAACACAUGCAAGUCGAACGGAGUUAAUUAGAGCUUGCUUUGAUUAACUUAGUGGCGGACGGGUGAGUAACACGUGAGCAACCUGCCUUUAAGAGAGGAAUAACAGUCUGAAACGACUGCUAAUACCUCAUAACAUAACGAAGCCGCAUGACUUUGUUAUCAAAGAUUUAUCGCUUAAAGAUGGGAUCGCGUCUGAUUAGCUUGUUGGUGAGGUAACGGCCCAACAAGGCGACGAUCAGUAGCCGUACUGAGCGGUAGAACGGCCACAUUGGGACUGAGACACGGCCCAGACUCCUACGGGAGGCAGCAGUGGGGAAUAUUGCACAAUGGAGGAAACUCUGAUGCAGCGAUGCCGCGUGAGGGAAGAAGGUUUUCAGAUUGUAAACCUCUGUCUUCAGGGACGAUAAUGACGGUACCUGAGGAGGAAGCUCCGGCUAACUACGUGCCAGCAGCCGCAGUAA